UGAGAGGACGACCAGCCACACUGGAACUGAGACACGGUCCAGACACCUACGGGUGGCAGCAGUCGAGAAUUUUCUACAAUGGGCGAAAGCCUGAUGGAGCGACGCCGCGUGGGGAGUGAAGGGCUUCGGCUCGUAAACCCCUCGUCAUUCGCGAACAAAGGUGCCGGCCUAAUAUGCCGUCGUCUGAUAGUAGCGGAAGAGGAAGGGACGGCUAACUCUGUGCCAGCAGCCGCGGUAAUACAGAGGUCCCAAGCGUUGUUCGGAUUCACUGGGCGUAAAGGGUGCGUAGGUGGCAGGCUAAGUCGGGUGUGAAAUCUCCGGGCUCAACCCGGAGGGUGCGCUCGAAACUGGUUUGCUAGAGGAUGGGAGGGGAGACUGGAAUUCUCGGUGUAGCAGUGAAAUGCGUAGAUAUCGAGAGGAACACCGGUGGCGAA
rnacentral:rRNA from 1 species